rnacentral:tRNA from 1 species
CCCUGGUGGCUCAUAUAGUAAAGAAUCUGCCUGCAAUGCAGAAGACCCAAGUUUGAACCCUGGAUCAGGAA